ensembl:processed_transcript
GUUGUUCACGUUGGUCCCGUCCUCCCGCUCCUCCACGAUCCAGCGCGGGUCCCCCUGGCCCCACUUGGCCAUGGCGGCGCUGACGACGAGGGCCCUGGUAGCGGGAGCGCGCGGGUUUCCGGCCAGAAGUGCUCCUCUAGAGACAAAAGAUUGUGCUUGCAAGUGCCCGGGAUUGUUACAAUAAGGGUUUAUUCUUUUCAUCGUUUUUAGCAAAACUGAAACCACCAUUUGGAAAGUGUUUCUUAGGAGAUUUAUUUAACAAAUAAAAUAGGUAGUUCAGUGGGAGAUGGGGAAGGACCUGGCUGCUCUGUGCACCUGCCAUUCAGCGGUCUGUUUAUCAGCAAAACAAGCUGAAAGGGCUAUGGUGUUUAUUGGAGCUAUUGCAUUUCGAUGUGUUCUUUGAGAAGUUACAACAUUCAAACUGCUGAAGCAAUGCAAUGACCCCCCCCCAAAAAAAAAUCAAACGGCAUUGUUAGUUCAACUGAUCGUACUAAAGGCACAGCUGUCAGAAGGCAAGAUUCUAGGGAUGAUUGGCGUGCACUGUGUGUGCCGACUUUUCAUCCAAUUCUUCUAUUAGUUCCUAAUAAAACAUGAUAACAUUUAGAUAUGAUCAUUUGAAUCUGACAGAAAAUAAGACUUCUGAGGGUAGAAGCUGCUACAAUCACUAAAAUGUAUAAAUACCAAAACUCUACAAGAACUGCUCUCAGUAGAAAUAAAUUUACUGGAAUGUAACUCGCUUGUGAGUCUAGGAGACCAACGAAUCCUGAGGUGCUCUUCAGAUCUGCGAUUUAAAAAUGACCUCCAACAUGACAUUGCAAAAGUGG